rnacentral:tRNA from 1 species
GGGACAUAGUUCAGUGGGAGAAUGUUUGACUGGCAGUCAAAAGGUCAGGGGUUCAAAUCCCCUUGUCUCC